rnacentral:rRNA from 1 species
CCUAGUGGUCUUAUGUAUAUGCCUACAUCAGACCCCAUUAGAACUCCGCAGUUAAUUGCACUCAGGCUAGACUAGUACUGGGAUGGGUGACCGCCCGGGAAGUUAUAGUUUCUUACAUGCC